GACCCCACAAAAAAGAAAUAGAAACAAAUUUUCUCAUUCUUUUUUUUUUUCCCCAAUAAGAAGUAGGCGGUACGCGCAGAAACGGAUUACAUUUUGAAGGAAGAUUCUGACUGCGUAUUAAUUGAAUUACGGCGAAUAGUCCCUCCCACAAGGUAGCUACGUGAUGCGUCACUGCGCUUACGUGUAGCUGUGACGCCAGUCUCGCGUGAUGAGACUUGCGGCGCUGGGAUCUCCUGUAAGACGUGUGGAGCUAGGCGCUUACCCUAAACAUGUGUUCUUGAGCUUUUUCUGCUUGCUGUCUCGGGAAAAACACUGAAGGAACCUCUUAGUCCAAGAAGUUACUCACAGAGGAGUCCUAGACUAUAUCAGAGAAGAUUCAAGAAUGGCUGCAGACAAAGCAGGAGUGUGGUCUGGGCUGCUUAGGGAUCGUCAUAAACAAAGCUGCUUGAAUUCUGCAUGACUGAACAGGGAGUUGAAAAACACAAGGGCUCUGCUGAUUGGUCAAGCAUAUCUGACCAUGAGAAGGAAUUAUCAAGAAGUGCAUUACAAGCAUUUACAGCUGGUAAUUAUGAAGCCUGUCUACAGCAUCUAGGAGAACUUAAAGAAAUCAACAAAGAUGAUUAUAAAGUAUUCCUGAACUCCUGCUGUAGCUGAGUUGUAUAAGAGUGGCCAAACAACUACUGACCUGUUGAAGCAAACACUUAACCAUUAAUGAAUGAGGUAGGCGUAUUUGUCUGAAAUCUCCUAGAUCGUCUCCUCAAAGCCCUACAGGACCGUUUACACCACACAGACAAGAAGAGAAAUUUGCGCAUGCCGUAUGCUUUCUGCCUGUAGAUUUAUAUCUUCUGACAUUCCAAACGGAAAAAGCCUUGCACCUGUUGGUGGUUCUUGAAAAAAUUAUUUUACAGGGGCACAGCAAUAAUAAAAAUGGUAAAAAUCAUGAGACAAACAGCAAUGCUAAUAAUAAAGAACCCUUUGCCCAGAGGGGUGAUGGCGGAGUUCAUGUAGAAGCAGCAAAAUCUAAAAUUCAUCGGGUUGAAUUCUCCUUUAAGCAGCUAAAGCUCAUCAUCAAGCCAGGAAUUCAAACGUAACACCUGCUUGAAGGUCACUGGGAGCAACAUCCAACGAGCCACUGGUUGGGGAUCACUGCUCUACUUACGGUUAGGCUCCUAGAUGGAUACAAUUAUUAUACAUGUUUCAUAUGGUAUGAUCACACCCUUCUUAUGUUUAUAUUAUCUUUAUUUCAGUGUGGGUGAUAUCUCACUACCUCAGCAGUCCAAGGACAGAAUGGCAGAAAAAAGAGCAUUUCUGAUCCAAAUGAAAGAAGAGGCCACAGUAGAAUUUGAAUACAAUGAAAAUUCUUGUUAUACUGCUACUCCAUUAACAUAGAUAUUAUUUUGAGGCAUGAAGAUAAACAGAAAUAUCCUUUAUUUACCGAGUAGCAGCACAUUUUUGCCAAACGGUAGCUUAGAGCGUGACCGUGUUGAGACUUCACUCAGAAUGGAGGACCUGCACAGAAAGAAAACAAGAUGAGAAAUGCGUUUGAUACACUUAGCAUGUCCUGCCACUGCUAAACAAACUCAUGUCCAAUGGCAAAUGCUGUAUCUACUGUGAUAUGUUUAUUAGUGUCUGCAAUUUGAUCUCAUUAGCUUUUGAGGCUAGUAAAGGCCUCAUUAUGAUGCCUAGUCCAGUUUAAGAAAAGCAGCAGAGAUGUGUUACUGUGCUUUUUACUUUAUUUUGCUCCAUUAUGAUCCUCUGUGGGUCCCAAUGACCUGUUUUAGCUGCUUGACACAGAAUUGCACAGGUUUUAGGUUGCCUGGAGAGUGGAGCUCCUUAGACAAGAGUCCUUUCUCAUUGCUCUGCUGCUGCACCCCACAAGAACUACUGUAUAUGUUUACAGGUUGUACAGUUCCCACCUUGCUUAGUUUUACUAGACACCCUUCUCAUCUUCCCGGAAGUAUACGUCAUAGAUAUAUUGGAUUGUCUUAAGUGUUUUCCACUGCCUUUCAUAUGGUUAUUACUUAUUAAAGACCAAAGAAAUUCGGAUGCACACCUGUAAGUUGCAAUUGUGUCCAAACGGUGAUUUAUUUGAAGCCCAGAGUAUACAUCACAAAGGGGCAACAUUUCUGACCCCUCCGGGUCCUUUAUCAAGAGGCUUGAUAAAGGACCCGGAGGGGUCCGAAAAGUUGCCCCUUUGUGCUGUAUACUCUGGGCUUCAAAUAAAUCACCGUUUGGACACAAUUGCAACUUACAGGUGUGCAUCCGAAUUUCUUUUGUCAUUUACCCAUUGACCCUUAUGCGAGGGAAGGGUCUUCUGGAUAAGCACCCUACACUUACAAGUGUGUUGGGAUUAGGUUGAGCUCUCCAUGUUCAUGCAUCGUAUUACUUAUUAAAGAGGCAAUAUGUCUUGAUAAGAGCAAAGGAAUACAGCAAAUACACAAGCAUUUGUUAAAGUGCAGUCUUCCUUUUGGGCCAAUCAGAUGCAUGAGUUUAUAGACUGGCAGAACAUCAGCCAAAGUGAUUCAUAUCAGAAGAGGGGAAAAUAAAACACACAAGUUUAAGAGCCAACACCCACACAGCAGUGAAAAUAAAUGUAUUUGUGAUAUUUCUUUUUUUUUUUUAUACAUUUGACUCAAACAUCACGUACAGACACGUUGGCUGAAAUUUCUAUCUUUUAGUAUUUUGCAUAUGGAAGGAAUCUCAGGCACUUUAUUUUAGUUUUUUGUUUUUAAAUUAACUUUUUUUUUAAAAAAAAAAAAUAGAAAAAUGCUGUGUGCUUGUCAGCCAAUUGCUUAGCUACAGAACAACUGUAAUAAAGAAACAAAGGAAGUA